rnacentral:lncRNA from 1 species
UAUUUUUCAGUUAGAUUUGUUUCAGUUUUAUAAGGGUUUACUUUCCACUAUAAAUACAGCCUUGUAUCAGAUGAUAAAAGUGUGUAGAAAAACAAGGUUUAGACCAACAAACAAACUAGGGUUUAUAGAGAAUCUCUCUUGGCAACAACUCUAGGGUUGGGAUUGUUUUGAUUCACCUUGAACAAAACACUAUUAGGAUUGAGUCUCUUGGUCANNNNN